CCACUUUUCUCACCCAAUCUUGGUAUCAACCUAGACACAACCAUUUGCACAUUCAGAAACCACAACAAAACCUUCAAUUCAAGCCAAAAUCAAGUUUUUAUACUUAUUAUAUCAUCACAUAUACUUAAAUAUCCUAACUUGCCAAAUUAACCACAUACAUCUAUAUGCAUAUUUUACUAAUUUACUAGUCUAAAUCAUGCUUCAAUAUACCUAUUAAUUAACCAUCAUUUAACCAAUCCAAACAUACCUCAUCCAUGAUUAAUCCAUACCCGCAUAAGUUGAUUACAAAUAUAAUCAAAGUAUAACUUUUAAUAUUUACACAAACCAAUUUUACUUAAACCGUUAUAGCCUUAUACAUGCCAUAUAAAGCUUAGUACAUGUUGCAAAAGCUACCUAAGUGAGUUGGAUAGUUUGGCUUGAUGUGUUGAUCCGAUCUCCUGACUUCACGUUAAUCUAUAAGGACAUUAAACGACACAAUUAAGCUUAAUAAAGCUUAGGAAGUUCGAUAGGUUAAACAUAGAUCUUACAAAAAUUAAUAUAAUAAAUUUAAUAGUAAAUUAUUCAUACAUUCUCCCUAUCAAUCACAAAAUAAAUCGAUGAACACAUUUCUUUCAAAUCAAUAUCAAUAAUAAACGAUAAAUAUUUCAAAUCCAAUCACAUAAGUCUUUUAUCAAAUCUUAUCGAAUCGGAGAAUGACUUACGGAUAUGAGUAUAUCAUAUUCAGAAGCCCGAAGGCUGCACGGAAGCACAUAAAUGCUAAACUGAAGCCCAUAAGGGUUGAACGGAAGCUCAUAGGAGCUGAAUGGAAACCCAUAAGGGUUAAACAGAAACUCAUAUGAGUUAACAGAAGCUCGUGAGAACUAAACAGAAAGUAAACACGAAAGUUCGCAACAAAUGCUGAAUCUCGGUUUACAUGGGUAAUUUGUCAUCAAUUCAUCCUUUGUAUUUACUGUCAAUUCAUCCUUUGCAUUUACCGUCAAUUCAUCCUUUGCAUUUACCGUCAAUUCAUCCUUUGCCAUACAACGAUUGUACUCAAUCUAGCGUUCCACUCGUUUUGAACAUUUAAUUCAAUUUCAUAAUUUAACAAUAAUUUUAUUUUCAACAAUAGAUAUGAAUUAAUAGAUAAUAACAUUCAUCAAGUUAAUAAAUAAACAUUAAAGUUUAACUAUACGAACUUAGGUUAAAUUGUAAGAUUUGUAGUAGUUUAGAGACUAUUCUACUAUUUUUCCUUUUUCACGUUUGUCUACGGACUCUUGAUCUAAAAUGUAAAACUAUUUAUUCAUUAGCAUAUAAUUCAAUUUUCAAUUCACUUCACAAUUAAUACCCCUUAAAUUUCAAAAUUACACAAUUACCCUAACUUUUACAGUUUUUGAAAUUUAGUCCCUCACCCAUUAGCCUAUCAAAUGAGCUAAUUUUUUUUUCUCAAUUGACAAUUUAUCUAAAUAUUCUAAGCUAUUAUAACAGCCUUUGAUCAACAAAAUUUUAGUAUCAAACCCUAAUAUUUAAUCUUUUCAAAAUUUGGUCCUAAAAUCAAUUUCUUUUGAAAUCACUUGAUAAAAUCAUCAUAUAACAAAAUUAAAGCUCUAAAUCCAUGUUAAUUCAUCAAAAAAAUCCGGCACUCAUCAAUGGAAACUUUUAAAAUUACCCAUAAAAUCAAAAACUAAUAAAAUAGAUAGUUGGACCUAAUUGUAAAAGUCCUAAAAACACAAAAAUUCAAGAAAAGAGCAAGAAUUGAACUCACAUGAUGUAAAAAUAUGAAAAACCAGCUUUUGAGGACCUCCUAUGGCGUUUUUGGCUGAAAAUUUUGAAGAAAUGUCUAGAUUUCUUCCAAAACCCAUUUUUAUCUAAUUAAAUUUUGUUUUUAUUUCCCAUUUUACCCUUUAAUCACCUAAUUUCAUUGUUGUUUUUUUCUGCUUAUGCCCCCUCAGCCUUCUAAUGGGUGCCUAAUUGCCUUUUUGGUCCUCCUUUAUUUACCACUUAAGCUAUUUAAUCACUUUUUUUUAAUUAGCAAGUUUUACACCUUUUUCAAUUUAGUCCUUUUUACUUAAUUAACUAUCAAAACGUUAAAAUUUUCUAACAAAACUUUAAUAAUACCUUAAUGACACUCUGUAAAUAUUUAUAAAAAUAUUUACGACUCGGUUUAUAAAAUCGAAGUCUCAAUACCUCAUUUUUGAAACCACUUUACCUAAUAACUCUUUCUAAAACACAAAUCACUAAUUCAAAAAUCUUUUUAAAAUCACGCUUGACUCGUACAUAAUAAAUAAUAAAAUUUUUGAACUCACUCGUCGGAUUUAGUGGUCUCAAACCACUGUUUCUAACACCACUGAAAAUUGGGCUGUUACAAUAUUAUUCUUCCCACGCCCGUUGUUGAAGAAAUUGAUGAAGGUUCAGUAUCUGAGGGUCAGAAUCCUGAAGAUCCUCUUCCAACUGGAGGGGUCUCAACUACAACCACUAAUCAAACUAAUGAGGGUGGGGAUUGAAAUUUCCUUUGUAUAAUUCCAUUUUUUUUACUUCUUUAUGUUAAUGUAUUUUAUCUUUAGCAAUGAAACCAUCAUUUACCUUUCUUUUGUCUCUUUACUUCUUCAUUAUUUCUCUUCACUAAACUAUUAUUAAUACAUUUAUUAUAUAAUGGGGUAAUUUUGACAUACUUGAGGAACUCUACCAAGUUCGGCGUAUUAUGCAUACAGGGCUUCUCCACUUCUUCACAGUCCAAGAAUUAACUAAAUCGUGCUCUAAUACCAAACUUGUAACAUCCUUAACCCGACCUGUUAUGUUGGAUCUGGAUCUUGGUUAUUACCAAACGAAUACAUACAAAAACUUAAUCUACUUAAACAAGUUACAAUUAAUUAUACCUUCUUAGCUAUAGAAUUCAAACUAAAAUACCUAACUAUAUACAAUAAGAAAAUACAACUACCACACAUGGUAAUUAAAUUACAAUGAUAUCUAAAUUGAAAUCUUAAUCUAUUGUAGAUACCCCAAAGUAUGGAUUUUUAUGUAACAAUUUAGACUUUGGGGUAGUCCUGGUAUUGUCCCUCAUGGCACAAUCCUACAUCAGCUCGCUUGUAACAUAGUACACACAGAUAAGUUUAUAAGAACUUAGUGAGGAAAACAUCAUUUACUUGAGUCAUAUUUGCACAUUGCAACUAAUAAUUAUAUAAACAAUUCUAUCAUUCUUAACCUUAAACUUUGUCACUAGUGAAUGCUUCCUCAAGGCAGAUCAGUUAUUAUACCUUGCUCUGAAACUAUUUCAUUCUCAUUUGAUGUCUUCGAUACAUCACUUACAUUCUUCAAACUCUGAGCCAACACCUCAUCGUGAUUCAAGAAGUAACACAUACAUAGACGAAAUGUACUUUCUUCGAACAUACCAAGUUCACAUCCUUAUUCAGUAUACAUUUUCAAUAUUAACCCAUUACUUUUCUAUAUCCUUUGAAUUUGUUAUUUUCGACCAUGUUUUAGUCUUAUGAAAUACCUUUCCAUAUAGUUCAUAGAUAUAUUUCAUCCUUAUUUAUUUCAUUGGUUACAUUUAGGAGCCAUACAAAACUCGCCACAAGGGAAAUUCAUUAGAAUAAGCCACGAAGGCUUUAUCGUAGAACACCACAAAGAGCAUCCUUCAAAGUUCUUCAUUGAGAUCCCUAUUAAGACAUGCUACAAGGGCAUUCCAUCCGGAGUACGCCACAAAGGUUAUCCUUGUAAGAUUCGCCACAGAGGCUAUCCCUUCAUAAUUCGCCACUAAGGCUAUUCAUUCAGAGUUUGCCACAAAGACUAUUCUUUCCUAACGUGUUUACGAUAUAGAUUUGCCUAAACUCACAUUUUAUGAGGUUUGCCUUCAUUGUGUUAGGACACAUAAAGAACCCUAUCGGGUAAUCAUUUCCCUUGAGUUCUUUUUUCAGAAGGUGUCAUUGUCAUGGCUUAAUAUACAUGUAACGUUACCAGUCUAAGCUAAACCUUUAAAAUUACAAUAGAUUAUCAGUCUAGGCUAAAUUUGUGUCACAUGUAUCUUCGAGUCUGUAACAAAUGCUGGAGCUCGAUUUCAAAACAUAUUUACUUGCGGACACUUCAUACAUCGAAAAAACUAAGCUCAAUAUUCUUAAUCCAUAAUAAGCAACCUAUAUAACACACAUCUCAUAACAUAGAUUUCAAACAUUCAGGUACAAUCAUGCUUCACCUUGCAUUUCACAUGCAUUAUUUAACACAUGUUUGAACUCAUCAAACUCUAUACCAGAUUUACGCAUUAUUCCCAACAAUAUUAACUUAAUCAUAGAUAUCCUUUAGGAAUCACUUACCUUACCUACUAUACCUUUCAUGAUCUCGGCAUCACUUUUCGAUUUGUUCUACAAACAUCAAGGUAUGAAUAGUACCACACAAGAGUCAGUUUAAAGAGUUACCUAACAACCAUGAAUAGUAGCUUGAACUUCUGAUCCAACAUCCAACAAGGAACUGCAGCACUACUUAACAUGGAGUGAUUACUGAUAAAGAUCAAGAAUUUUAUCUUCAUCUUGAAGGAUAAAGAACUAUUGUUCGGUUCCUUAAGAUUCAGAUAGCAACACUUUAAAAAAAGGAAGAACCAUAACAUAAAGUAAAAGUGAAGUAGAAGUCAUCUCGAGAGUCUUCUCCCUCAUUAGAUAUAAACUCUCUAUCCUAUUACUGUAGACUUUGACGAGUGACGAUACUUACAUAACCUAUAUCUCCUGAUUUUCCUAAAAAUCUAGGACAGGUGAAGAGAAUUCAAUGAAGAUUUUUAUUACUGUCUAACCAUACAUAGGAAGGGUCUAAUCAAUCCCAUUGAAUCCCAACUAAUCCUGUUAGGAGAACCAACCAAAACAAUACUUAUAUAAUCGGGCGUAUUAUACCUUGGUGGUGACUCGCUUAUGGUGUGGCCUUAAAGGCAAUUAAUCCUCCUACAACAUUUUCAUGCACUUGGUAUGCUCCUUUAUGCCUAAUCCAAAACUCUAAAGCAUAAUUUUCUUGUGCGUAUUCCUUCUUUACAGGAAAAUGUCCAGUGAAAAAAAUCCUUAGAUACCACCAACAGACAGAUACUUUAGUGCUAAAACUCUAACUUGCCAGCAAGUCAACCUGAUGGCAGACUACUAUCACAGUGCUCAAACAGUUUGCAUACAUUCCCUAAUCAUUCAAAAAUAUUUGGGUAGAUACCACUUUACCACACUGACCAUAUUAAAACUAUGCGCUUAUAAUCAGCAAGAACUGGGGUGUUACACAAUCUCAUAGGUUGCCUAAAUAAGAAAUCCCCUAAUAGUUCUCUUGUUUAAGCUUUCAGACUUGAUAAUCCUCCAGUCUACUUUGGUUAAAUGUUUUGUCACGCUUGGACUAGCUCCACAAAUCUCAUGUAUUAGCAGCUCAUCAUGGAUAAGGGCAUCGUAAGCCCUAUCCCGAACACAAGGAUCUAGCGAUCCACUCAUGGUCCUUCAAUCAACUCAAACUUAAGGGUCCUCCAACCCAUUUAAGCUCAAGGGUCUUUCGACCCAUUUAAACUCAAGCUCGCUAGGCCUUCCAAUCCCAUCUUGACCGCAAUGGCCCACUAGCCAACACAGAUGGAGCUUGCAACCGCUCUAAUGCUAAUUAGGCAUACUCUUGCACUACUCAGGUUCCUUCAAAUCGAUUGCCUCAAUAUUACACCAACAUAUUUAUAAAUCUAAUUUUCCUUUUAUUGUCUAUUUUUUUCUCUUCCGAGAUUCAAACCCUAAGACCUUUUAGGAUUUCAUGAUACUCCGAGUUUACAAUCAAGUCUUAUAAGCUCAACUUUCAACUUGGAACGCGCAAGCUAGAGUUAAACUACCCGAGAUCUGAAUUAACAAAGUCAAACCAGCAUUCCAGCACCUUAAACCCCCCACACAAGUUACAAGCUCACGUUACCAAGCUUGGCUUCUAAAUUGCCUGUAGGAGCCUUCAUUGGUUCCAACAGAGGGUAACAAAAACAAUUCUCACGUUUAAAAAGAAGCAAAGAUAUCACUUCUAAAUUUUUGGAAAUAUACUACUGCAAACAAAAUUGUUAGCACUAACAAGAAACCAAACUAAGUGUAAAUAAAUAAAGCAGACACUAUUUCAUGGAAAGACCACUGCCUUAGAAGUGAUUUCACUCUGAUCGAUGUAAUCGAAAAUGGACGUCGCCCCCCAGGGUUAACAUAAUAUUUCCAAAUUUGUACACCCAAAUGAGGAAGAUGGAACUCAAAAGGAUUGCUCUUCUUGUAAAAGCUAGGAAAUAAACUGGAAGAAACUCAAGUAAACCACACUAGGUUUAAUUCCCAAGAAAGAUUGGAGGGGUCACAAACAGUCCCGCUUAAAAUCCAAUCUCCUAGACAGAAUAUUGCAUUAAUGUAAUUUAGUAAAACACCGGAAUUUUAGAGAGCAAAAAUAGGAGAGAAAAGAGAUAGUUGAGUUCUCUUAUUUUUGUGUUGUGAAAUAUGAGUAGAAUAGUCUGCUAUUUAUAGUGUUUUCAAAAGGGGCAAAAUGGUAACAUAACAGUAUCAGUUUCCAUAAAUAAUAGAGGAUUUUUCUCAACAAAAAUAUUCUACAACAAUCAGAGGAUUUUUCUCAACCGAAAAAUAUUCUACAACUGAAAAUAUUUUGAAAAAAUAUUUCUGAUUUUGCAUUACCAACAUGAAUAACAUCACCAUGAAACGUUUGGCCUUUCAUGUUUUUUUUUUCUCCUUGCCACAAUAAUAUUAGAUGUUAUGGUAAGAUUUUUUGUCGCUUGACAAACCCUUAAUGCAAGAAAAUAUAUUUAUUGUCAAUGUUAGAUGAUAAUCAAAUUAGUUCCUUUACUGUUAAAUAGAUUAAUUUAAUUCAUGUACUAUUAAAAAGAAUUGAAUAAGGUUAAAUUGGAAUAUAGUUAACAUUUAUUGUUAAAAAAUGUCAUUAAUUGUUUCAUAGAGUCAAUAAUUUAAAAUUUUUUAUAGCUCUGUAAUUGAAAUCAUCUUUUAGACUUGAAUUGCAAUUAAAAAAUAAUUUUCAAAACAUUUUUGAUACGGUAAAUGUUAACUCCGUUAUAAUUUGAACUUAUUUAAAUUUUUUUGGGUAAACUUCAAAAAUAGUCACUUUUGUUUGCCUUUUAUUACAUUUUAGUCACUUAUGUUUGAAAUGUUACGUUUUAGUUAUUUACGUUAUCGUUUUAUUACGAAGUGGUCACUCUACCUUUAAGCUCUGUUACCUCCCUAACGACGGUCCUACGUGGCAGUCCAAAUGGGUUUUAAAUGCCAACUUGAAUGUCCUACGUGAUAAUUCAAAUUAAAUUUAUUUAAUUAAAAAUCUAUUUUUAUCCCAGCAACUAGACAUCCAAGUUGGCAUUUAAAUCCCAUUUGGAUUGUCAUGUAAGACUGUCGUUAGGGAGGUAACGGAGUUUAACAGUAGAGUGACCACUUCAUAACAAAACGAUAACAUAAGUGACUAAAACGUAACAUUUCAAAUAUAAGUGACUAAAAUAUAAUCUGAGACAAACAAAAGUGAUUAUUUUUAUAGUUUACCCAAUUCUUUUAAUAAUAUAAGACUAAAUUAAUCAAUUUAAAAAUAAAAAAUUAAUUUAAUCCAAUCCUUGUUAACAGGAUCUCUCACGGAGUUUAACCCAAACUAAAUGCAUGUCCAAUGAUCAUAUUCUGACCACGAUCCACCUGUAUACACAGACACUGCAGCAGAUAGCAGCAAAUAGAAAACACUGUUAGAAAAUGUUAUACCUCUUUUACGUAUUCGACAUUAAUUGUAACAAUAACGGUGUUAAAUUCUGUUUAAAGUUGCAACUUUUGGACAAAUUAAUUCAAUGUGUAUAUUUGGAUGUCUUACCAUAUAUACACGAGGUAAUUAAUUAUUACCCUAUCUUACCUUUUUUUACUCUAUUGGGGUUGUUCAAAAUCCAGCUAAAUAAAUAAUCUCACCCAAUAAUUAAAGUUACUAUGAUUAGAACUGUUUAAAUUUUUUUCAAAUUUUAUUUAAAUAUCAAAUUGUUAAUUCUUUCGAGUUAUUCAUUUGACGCGUUAAAUAUAUUAUUAGAAAUUAAAAAUUUAUCACAUGCAUAUAUGUGUGAAAAAUCUCAUAUUUAGAAAACAGUAAAGUAAUAGUGUGCAUGAUAACAUAAAAGUAUUAGAAUAAAUUUUAAUAUUUUAUUAAUCUAAUUAGCAUGAAUUUUAAAUCUCAUUAACCUAAUCAUUAUUGUGCAUAAAAUAUUUAUGAAUUUAUUAUAAAUAUAUAUUUGUUAUUGUAAUAAUUUAUAAACGACCUCAUCUAUUAUACCAAAACAAGACUACUUAAUACAAUAUCAUGCCUUAUAUGUCACACUUUAAACUUAAUUAAAUUUUUAUUUAUUAUAUUUAAAGCUACCAUAAUUACACUUUCUUUUCUUUUUAUAACUUCGAACUUGAAAAAUCAGUGAAUGAGUGCAAUCAAUUUAUUUCAAAGUAAUUCAACAAACUCCAAAAUAAUUAAAAAGUAGAAUAACCAAAUAAAUUGCUUACUUUUUAGGGUUACACUGAUAUGCGGCUAAGGGUUUUUUUUUUUUUUUUUACAUUCUUUUAUGGUUGUUUGAAAAUGGACAGGGCUUAAGGAUGUUGCAAAUUGUGAAUUUCUUUCUCCACAAUUUCCUUCCUAACUACGGGCCCAAAAAAUUGGGUUUUUUUUAUAGAGAGAAUCUAGAGUUUGGUCCCACGUAGGGUUUUGUAUGUGCUAGAUGUGACACCACCAAAUUUAAGUAUGUGAUGUCAUAUUACGUCGUCAAAGUAGCUAAAACUGUAGUAACACAAAUGCAUUCAAUUCAAUCAUCAAAAUAAUUCAUAUGUAAGCGUUCAAGUUAAUUUCAGAGCUAAGACUCGAAUCCAAACUCAAAGUCAAAUUUCAAAUUUAUGUCUUGAGACAAGAGUUUUUAUGUCUCGAGGCAGGUCAUAAAUAAUUUUGAAAUUUUUAACUUCAAAGUUAACAUGUCUCGAGGCAAGGUCCUUUAUGUCUUGAGACCAACCUCCCAUAUUUUCUUAUUUUUCUUGUCUCAAGACCUAGAGCAAGGAAAAAUAUUUAGCUUCAAUGUUCUUUUGCCUCGAGACAUAGAAACAAUUGCCUCAAGACUAUAUAAAUAUGUCUCGAGACCCUAGACUCUUAAUUUCAAAAUUUAAAUGAAAUUUGAUCCAGCGGUCUCGAGACUCAGUGGUCAAAUGGUCAAAAUUCUACACUUCUAAGUGUUUAAUGCCUCAACCAUUUGAACUUAAAUCUACCUAAAACUUACCACAAAACAUAUUCAUCCAAUCGACCUAUCUAAACAUGUUUAAACACUACUAAAUCAUAACCUGCAAUAGGUCAUUACUAAACCAACCCAUUUGCACAUUCAAACUCACAUAAACAAACAUAAUUAACUAGUAAUUAAAAGUUAAAAUUCAACUAACAUAACAUUAUAGGUCACUUACUAAAAGUGUCAAAACUAACUUAGGCAACAAGCCUACCAACUUAGGUACAGCCAUAUGAGAGCACAAACCAGAUUAGCUAUUUGUUGAUGAUUGUCUUUCCCUUUGCUUUUCGAUGUUCCAACGUCUUCUUUAGCUAUGUAAAAUAAAUUUGAAUAUAGAAAAUUCAUUAAUAAUCCAAUUCAAACACAAAUCAACACAUUAAAUACAUGAAUUCAUUUUAUUCGAUUUAGUCCCUAUACACCCUAAUAUCUGAAACACUCUAUACUCACAAUUUACUUACCGAAUUUAAAUCCAACUUAAUAAGCAUAGUACAAGGACCUCUUGCUACCUCUAUUUAUUUUCAAACCUCAAAGUUUACAUUUCUUACAAUUAGAUCAUGAAUUAAACAUAAUUUAAUUAUAUAAUCCUAAUUCAAUACUUUUCGCCAAAAUUUCAAUAGAAAUAACUAUAAUCUUAACUACUAUUAACAUGCAUGAGUUUUGAACAUUAAACUUCAAUUUUCCUCAAGUUACCAUCAAAGGAAUUUCAUCUAAAAUCUUACUAAUUCCUCAAAUAUUUAAUAUUUAUUGUACUUUAAUAAAAAAAUCAAUAAAAAAUUAUGACUAAACUUACCAAUUUCCUUGGCAAGCUCGGCGAUGGUGGAGAAAUGGAGAAGGAAAUGUUUUUUCUUUCUUUCCUAGCUAGACUGUAGAAAGGAUGAAAGAAAAUGAUGAUGUCUGUCCCUCACUAUCUGAUUAACCUUUAAUUAGUAGUUAUCUGAAUUAACAAGUUAAACACUAGAAAGUGGAAAGUGUUGACAUUUCUGCUUCUUAGUUUUGCAAUCGUCUAAUUGCUAUUAUCAGUUUCCUCCAUUUUAGUUACUAAUCAAUUUAUUCUCUGUAUUAUUUUAUUAAUCAAUUUAAUUCAAUAAUACUCAAUAAUUCAAAUUUCCUAAUCCCUCGAAAUUAUCCUAUUCUAAUUGUUUAUUAGCUUAUUUCAAAAAUCUAGUCUAAAACUAAAUUUUAUGACAUUGUUAAAAUCGAGUUGUUACGUCAAAGAUGUGAGAAAAUCUCUACCUCGAAUCACCAUCUCAGUGGCAAAUUUCGUGCCCCGACACCGUAGAGAUUCUCUGCUCCUUGGCACCGACUAGACCUGCAUCGGGUUCUCAAAUCACCAAGUUGGCAAUCGAUUUGGUUCCCAAAGUCGACAGAUGAGUGGUAAUUUUCAGAACCUAAGAGUCCCCCCUCAUUUUCACCCCAAAUCGCCAUUCCAUUCACCUAUUUGGGUGUCAGUUGUCCCUACGCAUAUAUUUCGUUCUUGAGGUGAUUAGCCCUCUUUUUUCUUUUUGGUUUAGUGUAGCAAUCGAG
rnacentral:lncRNA from 1 species